GAGAGGCAGCAGACAUGGGCAAGAGCUUCGGGCAGCUGGUCGCCACACAGGUACCUUUUAACAAGGUCAAGCUACUGAAGGGGGUGCAAGAAAAAGAUGUGGCCCUAGGUCAACUUGCACAGUUCAAGGACAUGCUGAAAACCCUAACAAGCAGCAUUAAAGAGGAAGCUGGAUUGUGGGAUAUGGCCACCAUGGCCUUGGUUGCAAGCUGUUGGACGUAUUCCAAGGCCUGUUCAUGGCAUGUGCUGAUGCACAAACUGAAGCACUUAAAGGCAGCUCUGAGACAUACAGUGAGCACACCACAAUAAUGCAAUAACUCUUUUGGAUCUUUCUUUUUUGUGAUUUGCUAACAUACCGUCCAAAAGCAAUCUGGUGAACUCUCUGUACUGCAGACAGUAAAUCUGGCGUUUCACGGUAAUCAAUGGUCUCGCACCAGCUGUACAACUCUCCUAACAUCUGUCUCACAGUUUUGCAUUGUGCUGGAUGAUCUUGGUUUGAGUCAUUUCCAGAUGACUGGCUGCCUGAUGACUGACAGAUGACCGAUGACACCCCUUCAUCAGACUGAGAGAUAUCCUGUGGACAGUCCUCCAGAGCGAGGAGCUCUGAAACCUUUUGGCACACACACAUUUCUUUAAGGCUGCUAGCAAG